rnacentral:rRNA from 1 species
UACGUAGGGUGCGAGCGUUGUCCGGAAUUAUUGGGCGUAAAGGGCUCGUAGGCGGUUUGUCGCGUCGGGAGUGAAAUCCACUGGCUUAACUGGUGGCUUGCUUUCGAUACGGGCAGACUGGAGGUAUGCAGGGGAGAACGAAUUCCUGGUGUAGCGGUGAAAUGCGUAGAGAUCGGGAGGAACACCGGUGGCGAAGGCGGCUUCCUGGACUGACACUGACGCUGAGGCGCGAAAGCUAGGGGAGCAAA